UACGAAGGGGGCUAGCGUUGCUCGGAAUCACUGGGCGUAAAGGGUGCGUAGGCGGAUUGUUAAGUCAGGGGUGAAAUCCUGGAGCUCAACUCCAGAACUGCCUUUGAUACUGGGAGGCUCGAGUCCGGGAGAGGUGAGUGGAACUGCGAGUGUAGAGGUGAAAUUCGUAGAUAUUCGCAAGAACACCAGUGGCGAAGGCGGCUCACUGGCCCGGUACUGACGCUGAGGUGCGAAAGCGUGGGGAGCAAACAGG
rnacentral:rRNA from 1 species